GACGAACGCUGGCGGCGUGCUUAACACAUGCAAGUCGAACGGAAAGGCCCUGUUCUUGUGGGGUGCUCGAGUGGCGAACGGGUGAGUAACACGUGAGUAACCUGCCCUUGACUUUGGGAUAACUUCAGGAAACUCGGGCUAAUACCGGAUAUGAGCUCCUUCUGCAUGGUGGGGGUUGGUAAGUUUCGGCGGUUGGGGAUGGACUCGUGGCUUAUCAGCUUGUUGGUGGGGUAGUGGAUUACCAAGGCUUGGACGGGUAGCUGGCCUGGGAGGGUGACCGGCCACAUUGGGACUGAGAAACGGCCAAGAGUGAUACGGGAGGCAGCGGUGAGGAAUAGUGCAAGAUGGGCGGAAGCCUGAUGCAGCAACGCCGCGUGCGGGAUGACGGCCUUCGGGUUGUAAACCGCUUUCGCCUGUGACGAAGCGUGAGUGACGGUAAUGGGUAAAGAAGCACCGGCUAACUACGUG
rnacentral:rRNA from 1 species